rnacentral:miRNA from 1 species
GUCAUUUUUCUAUUAUGCAA